UACGUAGGUGGCAAGCGUUGUCCGGAAUUAUUGGGCGUAAAGCGCGCGCAGGCGGUCUUUUAGGUCUGAUGUGAAAGCCCACGGCUUAACCGUGGAGGGUCAUUGGAAACUGGAGGACUUGAGUACAGAAGAGGAGAGUGGAAUUCCACGUGUAGCGGUGAAAUGCGUAGAGAUGUGGAGGAACACCAGUGGCGAAGGCGACUCUCUGGUCUGUAACUGACGCUGAGGCGCGAAAGCGUGGGGAGCGAACAGG
rnacentral:rRNA from 1 species